GGACGGGUUAGUAACGCGUGGGAACGUACCCUUUUCUACGGAAUAGCCAUUGGAAACGAUGAGUAAUACCGUAUACGCCCUUCGGGGGAAAGAUUUAUCGGAGAAGGAUCGGCCCGCGUUAGAUUAGAUAGUUGGUGGGGUAAUGGCCUACCAAGUCUACGAUCUAUAGCUGGUUUUAGAGGAUGAUCAGCAACACUGGGACUGAGACACGGCCCAGACUCCUACGGGAGGCAGCAGUGGGGAAUCUUAGACAAUGGGCGCAAGCCUGAUCUAGCCAUGCCGCGUGAGUGAUGAAGGCCUUAGGGUCGUAAAGCUCUUUCGCCAGGGAUGAUAAUGACAGUACCUGGUAAAGAAACCCCGGCUAACUCCGUGCCAGCAGCCGCGGUAAUACGGAGGGGGUUAGCGUUGUUCGGAAUUACUGGGCGUAAAGCGUACGUAGGCGGAUUAGAAAGUUAGGGGUGAAAUCCCAGGGCUCAACCCUGGAACUGCCUCUAAAACUACUAGUCUAGAGUUCGAGAGAGGUGAGUGGAACUCCGAGUGUAGAGGUGAAAUUCGUAGAUAUUCGGAAGAACACCAGUGGCGAAGGCGGCUCACUGGCUCGAUACUGACGCUGAGGUACGAAAGUGUGGGGAGCAAACAGGAUUAGAUAC
rnacentral:rRNA from 1 species